UAGCCGUAAACGAUACUCGCUAGGUGUCGACCACGGUGCGACCGUUGUCGGUGCCGUAGGGAAGCCGUGAAGCGAGCCACCUGGGAAGUACGGCCGCAAGGCUGAAACUUAAAGGAAUUGGCGGGGGAGCACAACAACGGGUGGAGCUUGCGGUUUAAUUGGAUUCAACGCCGGAAAUCUUACCGGGACCGACAGCAACAUGAAGGCCAGGCUGAAGACUUUGCCGGAUUAGCUGAGAGGAGGUGCAUGGCGUAGUCGUGU
rnacentral:rRNA from 1 species